AACCCAUGGUGAGGGCACCUUAUCAAUAAGUCCUUGUAUCUCACCCAUGCAUCGUAGAGGGUUUCUAAAUCCAUUUGUACAAAAGAACAAAUAUCAUUACGUAAUUU
rfam:Gossypium arboreum cultivar AKA8401 contig_132650_1, whole genome shotgun sequence.